rnacentral:tRNA from 1 species
ACAUGGUGAGGUGGUGGGACUUCAAAUCCCU